CCUUUCGCCUUAAUAACACUGCACUGAUCAUGAUCCUACUUUAGAUCUUCCCAUUGCUCUUCGCAAAGGUAAACGUACAUGUACUUACCCUAUUUCUUCUUUUGUUUCUUAUAAUCAUUUGUCUUCUCCUUCUCAAUGUUUUGUCACCUCUUAGAUUCUAUAAAAAUCCCUAAAUCAGUCAUUGAGGCAUUAUCUCACCCUGGUUGGUGUGCCGCUAUAAAAGAGGAAAUGGAGGCCUUAGAUACAAAUGAUACAUGGAAACUGGUGCCUUUGCCCACUGGUAAAAAGGCUAUUGAGUGCAAAUGGGUUUUCUCGGUAAAGACGAAUCCUGAUAGUUCUAUAACCAAAUUAAAAGC
rnacentral:misc_RNA from 1 species